UCAGCACAGGAAGAUGAUGAAGAGCUUGAAGAAGAGAGAAGACUUUGCUACGUUGGAAUAACAAGGGCGAAGACAAUACUUUAUCUAACCUGUGCGAA
rnacentral:sRNA from 1 species